GAGAAUGGGAGGGAGGAGUAACAAAAGUGAAAACCAAAACUAAAAACUGAAAUCUAUUUGAAAUUGUUUUCACUUUUGUUUCUCCUCCCUCUCAUCCUCCCCACUCA
rnacentral:miRNA from 1 species